AUUGAACGCUGGCGGCAUGCUUUACACAUGCAAGUCGAACGGCAGCGCGGGCUUCGGCCUGGCGGCGAGUGGCGAACGGGUGAGUAAUGCAUCGGAACGUGCCCAGUAGUGGGGGAUAGCCUGGCGAAAGCCGGAUUAAUACCGCAUACGACCUGAGGGUGAAAGCGGGGGACCGAAAGGCCUCGCGCUAUUGGAGCGGCCGAUGUCGGAUUAGCUAGUUGGUGGGGUAAAGGCUUACCAAGGCGACGAUCCGUAGCUGGUCUGAGAGGACGACCAGCCACACUGGGACUGAGACACGGCCCAGACUCCUACGGGAGGCAGCAGUGGGGAAUUUUGGACAAUGGGGGCAACCCUGAUCCAGCCAUGCCGCGUGCGGGAAGAAGGCCUUCGGGUUGUAAACCGCUUUUGUUCGGGAAGAAAUCCUCUGGGCUAAUACCCCGGGGGGAUGACGGUACCGGAAGAAUAAGCACCGGCUAACUACGUG
rnacentral:rRNA from 1 species